rfam:Pantoea stewartii subsp. stewartii DC283 WGS_Sequence02, whole genome shotgun sequence.
GCUAUGCGCAAAAAGUGCAGGAUGAAAACCUGCUGCAGGUUCGACUGAAUCACACAGCGAUUCAGGCUGAUACGCCAGCAUUACCCGAAGGGCGAGGCCCGCCGGGCCGAAGGCAAUCCUGCACGACCCACCA